rnacentral:rRNA from 1 species
UACGGGGGGGGCAAGCGUUGUUCGGAAUUACUGGGCGUAAAGGGCUCGUAGGCGGCCAACUAAGUCGGACGUGAAAUCCCUCAGCUUAACUGGGGAACUGCGUCCGAUACUGGAUGGCUUGGAUUCGGGAGAGGGAUGCGGAAUUCCAGGUGUAGCGGUGAAAUGCGUAGAUAUCUGGAGGAACACCGGUGGCGAAGGCGGCAUCCUGGACCGAUAUUGACGCUGAGGCGCGAAAGCCAGGGGAGCAAACGGG